CAGUGUGGCAGUAUACAGCUAUA
rnacentral:miRNA from 1 species